rnacentral:rRNA from 1 species
UACGGGGGGUGCGAGCGUUGUCCGGAAUCACUGGGCGUAAAGGGCGCGUAGGUGGCGCGAGUAGUCAACGGUGAAAGCCCGGGGCUCAACCCCGGGUCGGCCGUCGAUACUCUCGUGCUUGAGCACUGCAGAGGCAGGUGGAAUUCCGGGUGUAGCGGUGGAAUGCGUAGAGAUCCGGAAGAACACCGGUGGCGAAGGCGGCCUGCUGGGCAGUAGCUGACACUGAGGCGCGACAGCGUGGGGAGCAAACAGG